GAUGAACGCUGGCGGCGUGCCUAAUACAUGCAAGUCGAGCGAACAGACGAGGAGCUUGCUCCUCUGACGUUAGCGGCGGACGGGUGAGUAACACGUGGAUAACCUACCUAUAAGACUGGGAUAACUUCGGGUAACCGGAGCUAAUACCGGAUAAUAUAUUGAACCGCAUGGUUCAAUAGUGAAAGACGGUUUUGCUGUCACUUAUAGAUGGAUCCGCGCCGCAUUAGCUAGUUGGUAAGGUAACGGCUUACCAAGGCAACGAUGCGUAGCCGACCUAAGAGGGUGAUCGGCCACACUGGAACUGAGACACGGUCCAGACUCCUACGGGAGGCAGCAGUAGGGAAUCUUCCGCAAAGGGCGAAAGCCUGACGGAGCAACGCCGCGUGAGUGAUGAAGGUCUUCGGAUCGUAAAACUCUGUUAUUAGGGAAGAACAAAUGUGUAAGUAACUAUGCACGUCUUGACGGUACCUAAUCAGAAAGCCACGGCUAACUACGUG
rnacentral:rRNA from 1 species